rnacentral:lncRNA from 1 species
GAGUACAUCAAGUCCAGAGAACAAAUUAUAGAUAUUUUCAUAAAGUCCCUUAAUUUUGAAGUAUUUUGCAAAUUAAAGGAUUCACUUGGAAUCAUUGAUAAAAGAAAUUUAGUUUAAAGGAGGAUGUUAAAAAGAUAAACUUAAUUUUGAAUUAAAAAUUUUAGUUGGAUAGUUUUGGAUAGAUAAUUAUGUUGGGAAGGAUCCUUCAGAAGUGUGGAAUACAGAUCCCCUGUCCA